AGCGAACGCUGGCGGCAGGCUUAACACAUGCAAGUCGAGCGCCCCGCAAGGGGAGCGGCAGACGGGAGAGUAACACGUGGGAACAUACCUUUUGGUUCGGAACAACUGAGGGAAACUUCAGCUAAUACCGGAUAAGCCCUUACGGGGAAAGAUUUAUCGCCGAAAGAUUGGCCCGCGUCUGAUUAGCUAGUUGGUGAGGUAACGGCUCACCAAGGCGACGAUCAGUAGCUGGUCUGAGAGGAUGAUCAGCCUCACUGGGACUGAGACACGGCCCAGACUCCUACGGGAGGCAGCAGUGGGGAAUAUUGGACAAUGGGGGCAACCCUGAUCCAGCCAUGCCGCGUGAGUGAUGAAGGCCUUAGGGUUGUAAAGCUCUUUUGCCCGGGAAGAUAAUGACGGUACCGGGAGAAUAAGCCCCGGCUAACUUCGUGC
rnacentral:rRNA from 1 species